CCUACGGGUAGCAGCAGUGAGGAAUAUUGGUCAAUGGGCGGAAGCCUGAACCAGCCAAGCAGCGGGAAGGAUGACUGCGCUAAGGGUUGUAAACUUCUUUUAUAAAGGAACAAAGUGAGGCACGUGCGCCUUUCCGUAGGUACUUGAUGAAUAAGGAUCGGCUAACUCCGUGCCAGCAGCCGCGGUAAUACGGAGGAUGCAAGCGUUAUCCGGAUUUAUUGGGUGUAAAGGGAGGGUAGACGGGGAGUUAAGUCAGAUGUGAAAGUUAUGGGCUCAACCGGAAAACUGCAAUUGAUACUGGUGGUCUUGAGUACAGUAGAGGUAGGCGGAAUUCGUGGUGUAGCGGUGAAAUGCGUAGAUAUCAGGAGGAACUCCAGUGGCGAAGGCGGCUUGCUAGACUGCAACUGACGUUGAGGCGCGAAAGCGUGGGUAGCAAACAGGAUUAGAUACCCGAGUAGUC
rnacentral:rRNA from 1 species